rnacentral:lncRNA from 1 species
ACCAUAUAAUUAUUAAUAAAUUAAUCCCACUAGUUGUAAAAUGAAUUACCAAUGGUAAAAAUAUUAUACAAGUCAUUGUCUUAUAUCUUAAAUUGCAUUACAAUCCUUCUAUUUGAAAAAUAAUCAAAAUGGUCAUUGCACAUUACAAAAAAUAAGCAAGAUAACCCCUUAAAAGAAAAAAAAAACUAGAUUAAGUUGGCAUAGCUUAAAUGCCCAAAAGUUCAUAGCCUCGACUCUGAAAAGAAAAAUGUCAACAAAGAGUUACUGAUUUUUAACUAUUAACUAGUGUAUGUUUUGUAUAAUCCAACAUCAAUUCAUCCAAGCUCCCCAUUUUCGCUUUUUUACUUCCAUGACUACAAAUAAAUAAAAUGUAUUGACUGCAAUAUGUCUUAAUCUCUAAGUUCAAAAUUUAUUGCACUUCAACCAAAGAGAAAAAUGGGUGCUCUAUAAAAAAAAUUCAGCCAAAGAAGAAAAGAGGAGAAAAAUGGUAUGAUUGAUGCCCUUGAUAAGAUGAAGUUCUUAGAUAAAUUAAAAUAGUAAAAGUAAUGUGGAUUUAUAAACAACAUAACAUCUUCAACAAAAGAAAUAAGAAAAAGCUUCAAUAGAUUCUAUUAAGACUAGUUAGCCCUUAAAUAGAAGUUGACCCCCAUCCAGUUUAAAGUUCCCAACAAGAAAAAGUAGGAUUCACAAAAUUAAUGAUGAACAUCUAAAAGAUCGUAGAUAAAGUUUUUACUUCUAGAAUUUAUAUUAAGCAAGAAGUAUAGGAUUUCAUUUACUUGGCAGCUUGAAGUAUGCAAUUCAAAAGUGGAUCAAAAACAAUUUAAGGAAAAACAUAGAACUAACCAAAGAUCUUAUAUAAGAGGGAAGGUGUUUAGGUUUACUCUCAUACCCCCUGGUAGAAUCCAAUUACAACUCCGAAAUAUGCUAAAGCAACCUGAUAACCUUGUUCAUAAAUGUGUGCCAAAGGAAGAUAUGAUAUAUAUCUGGACAUGGGACAACUAUUUCAAUGAGGCAGAUAAGAAUGAUGAUUGCAAAACUUAAUUUAUUACCAUUUCAAAUAGUAACAAUUGAAGAAGCAUCUAAACUACAACACAUAUGGUAAAUGAUGCAAAAUUCUUUGAUACAAUAGAUGACAUAGAUAAAUGAAGAAAAACACCUACCAUGUAUAAAAUAAAUUAUAAUUACUAACAAUUUCGAGCUCACAAAACAUAAAACAUGUAUCACCUAAAAAUGAUCCUGUUUUCUUAAUUCAAAUAACUUAAUAAUUUAUAAUCAAAUUAAUUUCCAUGAAAAAUACGAAUGGCAUGCUCAUUACCUUGAAAACACCCCCAAUCAGAACCUACAUAAUCAUUUAUAAAGCAUUAGUUAGUAUAGGUAAGGCAAGAUGACAUCUAGACUUGACAGAGGAAUUCUUCAGGAUGCAUAAGUUUUCAUUAGUCAUUACCAAUAUUAUAAAGAAAUGAAAAAAUGUAACCAUAUAGUUAACUAACCAUUAAGGAAGAGAACUAAACAACAUAAGAAUGUGAUGCAUAUAUUUGAUCAGUAACUUUUCCUAUUCAAUUUCAUGACAUAAUAGGCAAUAAAAUCCCCAGAAUUGUGCUAAACAUCAUUUUUAAGCAACUCUUAAACGCAGUCUUAGUCACUAUCUUGCACUAACCAAAUACCCCUAACUACCCUAUAAUUCAUUACAAUAUCCAAUCUUUAUAACAAGACUAACCAUAACAUAAAGCAAAAUUAUAUCUUCAAAGCACACAAUGCAAAGUUAAAAAGAAUAAACAAAAAUCCUUGCACAAAUUACAAACCAUAAGAAUGCAACAUGUCCAGAUGAUAAACUUACAAAAAUUACAGAGCAAAAUUAUAUCUUCAAAGCACACAAUCAAGCUUUUGAAACAAGAAUUGGUGUUUAUACACAAGAGUUGUAGUACGAUUGGACCAAACGUAUUUUCAACGACGCUUUCUCAUCUCAUAACUAUUAACUCUACUAAUCUAAUCGUAUCUUUUCUUCUUAUUAGAGGUUUUUUUAAUCACUUUCGUUCUUUUUGCUUCUUUUGUUAUUUAUUAAUCGAAGAUUCAUUGUUGUUAAUAAAUUGAAGGAUAUGCGAUCUCAACAAAAUAUAAUUUAAGGAAAAAUAAAUAAAAUAAAACCCUAUAAGAAGUAAAAAGGAAAAGGAGAGAUUUUGUUGAGGCAGAAACAAAUUUCAUGGUGGAGCUUAAGAAAAGGGAAGCAAAAGAAAGAAAAGAAUAGUAUUGAUUAUGCUUGUUCAGGUCAAUUUCAUACUUCUAAGUACCCAAAUUAGACCAUCACUUACCAUAAAUAAGGAGGUUCAACUAGAAGGAAGAUGAAGAUGGUGAGUGAAUGCUUGAUUUGUCGUCGAUUAAUAUGCUAAUUUCUAGGGUUCACUUUGGGAAAGAAAGUCGAGGAAGAAUGAAAUGGUUUGAAGUGAAGAGUGAAAACAAUGUAGGUGAGAAGCCAAGAUAUUUUGAUCCAAAAAGGAAAAAAUAUAAUUACGGGUGAUAUUGAAUAGCUAAUUUAGACCCUAAGUCCUUAAAUUGUUAUUACACGCCAUGCCGCAAUAGAGACUUAUUCCAUUCGACAAUUGUUUAUGAUUAGCCCAUUGAAUAAGGACUAAUACAUCCAAGCAAAAAUGCUAACAAAUAAUUGAAAUAAGCGAGGGUACAGUCGGUGCAGGCAUUUA